AGUAGAAUUGUUGGGUCAAAUUGUAACUCUAUGUUUAACUUUUUGAGCAACUGUCAGACUACUUUCCAAAGUGGCUUCGCCAUUUUACAUUCCCACCAGCAAU
rnacentral:pre_miRNA from 1 species